rnacentral:rRNA from 1 species
AUUGAACGCUGGCGGCAGGCUUGACACAUGCAAGUCGAGCGGAGAUGAGGUGCUUGCACCUUAUCUUAGCGGCGGACGGGUGAGUAAUGCUUAGGAAUCUGCCUAUUAGUGGGGGACAACAUUCCGAAAGGAAUGCUAAUACCGCAUACGUCCUACGGGAGAAAGCAGGGGAUCUUCGGACCUUGCGCUAAUAGAGGAGCCUAAGUCGGAAUAGCUAGUUGGUGGGGUAAAGGCCUACCAAGGCGACGAUCUGUAGCGGGUCUGAGAGGAUGAUCCGGCACACUGGGACUGGGACACGGCCCAGACUCCUACGGGAGGCAGCAGUGGGGAAUAUUGGACAAUGGGGGGAAACCUGAUCCAGCCAUGCCGCGUGUGUGAAGAAGGCCUUAUGGUUGUAAAGCACUUUAAGCGAGGAGGAGGCUACUGAGACUAAUACUCUUGGAUAGUGGACGUUACUCGCAGAAUAAGCACCGGCUAACUCUGUGCCAGCCGCCGCCGUAA